CUCGCUGUCUGUAUUUAUAAAGAAUACAUUUUAAUCAACAGUACAGAUAAAAAAAAAGACAGACAUACUUCGCACGAUGGGUGGGCCAUUAUUGAAGGUCACAAGUUGGGAAGGUAGGAUAUAGAGAGAAAAUUAAUGUAUAUCUGUACGCAAUAAUUAAUAAUUGCUAAAGAAAAACGAUUCUGAGUGGUUUUAAACUUUGUUUGGUUAUAGUGUUAUACAUGUUUUACAAGGUCAUAAUAUUUUUGAUUUUCAUCAAAAUUUGAUAUUAAAAUUCUUAUUAAAAAAAAACACUACAUUAAACUCAACUUUUUCUUGUUGAACACUAAGAAUAACUUACAAUAAACCUCUUGUUAAAUUUUCACACAUUUCUGUUUGGUUUAACAAUUUUAUCCACAGAGAACUUAUUGAAUAUAAAUGAUGUAAAAAAAAUUUCAAAAUUAAAAUGUCUAUAAAUAGUUUAA